rnacentral:tRNA from 1 species
CCUGGUGGCUCAGAUGGUAAAGCGUCUGCCUACAAUGUAGGAGACCCGGGUUCGAUCCCGGGGUCAGGA